UAGAUUAUAAUUCUUAGGAGAACUGUAGCGAAGAUUAUCUGCAAACCGUGUCAAACGUUUAAAUUAAUUUCAAAGUAACAUUAAUUUUCUUCCAUUUCUUUUUGUUACCAUUAUCUAUUACUUUUGAGAGAUAAACUGUUUAUCAAUCAGGCCAUAUGUUUUGAUACACAUUGUCUCUUUUUCUUCAGACGAGAAUCAAGUAAUCGUUGAUGGGUAGAGGUCACUGCUAUCGUAUGCCGAUUACCACAGUCUGGUUAUAUUGGUUUUAAUUAUUGCUAUACAACACACUUAACAUAGAACCCAAAAUUUGAAAUUAUUCAACAAUAUUAACAAGGGCAAAUGCGUAUGAUUAAAAAUAUGGGAGUGAUUGAGAAAACAAUGAUGUAUUGAAAUUUAACAACUAUGGGAAUACAUAACAAGCGCAUAGCAAACUUCAUUAGAUUACUAAUAUAUACGGUACUCCCUUUCUUCCACACCAGCCAGCCCAUAGAAUUUGAAUUAAAAGAAUGCGUAAAUCGAACCCUUUUCCUCUUAAGCGUAUCCAAAAUGCUGCCGCUCGUCCGGUUACCCGCUCAAGACCUUAUGAACAUAUUACUCCAAUCCUCCGCAAUCUCCACUGGCUGCCAGUUAUUCAACGUAUCCAAUUAAAAAUUCUUCUCCUUGCCUUCAAAAUCCGUAACGGUGAAUGCCCCACGUACCUUUCUAGUCUCGUAAAAUCCAAACUCCACUCCUCCAGGUUGCGUGCUUCAACUUCCUCUCACUUUCAACUCAGUAAUUCCUGGCCCUCGUGCGAAAACAAGAUACGGUGAUAGAGCACUUUCUGUAGCCCCCCCCCCCCCCCAGUUGUGGAAUAGCCUCCCGUCCUACAUCCAAAAUGCUCCUUCUAUAUCCACUUUCAAAGUAAUGUCAAAAACCCAUCUGUUCAAAUCCAUUUCAUGAAUGUUGUCUUCUUUAAACAUGUCAAAUAAAUAAAUGAUGUCGUACUACUAUUUGUUAUGAAAUAAGUCGACUUUAGCACAAUUUAAGUUAGAUUAAGUUGAUUUAUUAUUUAUCUGUAACAAACUGUAAUUUUGUAGCGUAACAUAGCGUAACAUACUGUAAUUUUGUACUGAAUAAUAUUGUGUAAUCGUGGUGCUGUCGUCUCGGAUUUUAUUUCGUGUAAGGACAUUGCUGCUGGGACAAAAGCACCACAGCGCCUAGAAACAAUGUAUUGGGCGCGUUAUUAAUGUGAUCUAUUAUUAUUAUUAUUAUAAACAAAUAAAAAAGUAGAUACCUUACUAAAAUUCAAAAGUAAUUACCUGACAAUCCUAUUUACAUAUUAAGUAGCUUUGUUGAAUUCGAUACUUUAUUGCUCAUUAUACAGAAUUUAUUACGUGUGUAAUUAUUUGAAAGGUAUGAUCAUUGAACCUAGUACCCACUGACAAAAAUUGAAUCAAAUUAUAUACAUUUUGUAUCUUGAAUAUAUAUAUAUAUAUAUAUAUCGUAUCAUGGAAAAUGAAAAAUUCAGCGUGUACGUGUAGAUAUACCGAAACAAACGAUGUCCGUAUGUUCAUGAAGCUUCGUAUAUGUUCAUUUUUUAGUUUAUGUGUUUGAAUCGUCAAAAUGUACCUGCGAGUCUUCAGAAUUCUGUCCUAUAGGCUUUUACGAAUCAGUCGGGUCACGGCGCCUGGAAUCGGGAAACAAAUCCCAUGAGGACCACAUUUGCCCCUGAUUCAACAUACUUGAAGACACCGUACAAAAGAUUGUGGUAUUUUCAGCCAGGACGCUGCCCCGCGAUCCGGCUGUUUAGCAAUAGCCUUGUAGGCAUGUACAAUUAAAACAUUAUGAACUGAAAGAAAUCGAAUCAACUGAAUUCAAUUAAUAUCCGGUGGCUCUAAUGGUGAAUAUUUGAAAGAUACUUUAAUGUUAUGUCAUUGUUUAUCUUGAAUCUAAUAAAAUGUAGUUUUAAAAUGUA